CCCAUUUUCUCCGUGUUGGGCAAGUUUUUUGCUUGGGAACUUUUUGUGGUAAUUAAGCAUGUAUGGUUCUAUGAAUUGAACAACAGAAUAUCUAUUUCCCAGGAGGGUGCCACGAAAUUGCUUUUCUAGGCACUUUUUCGCACAACAGCCCACGCCCUAUUGCUUAUUCUGGUCGAAAAAUUUAUAAAUAUGCUUAUAUUAGUCUGGAAAUUUUUUUUACCCCCAUGUCGACAACAUUUCCGGGUUUACGACUUGGUCAAAAUUUUAUUAAAUAUUGAUCAAAACAUGACCCCACCCCCCAAUGUUGAUGCCUUAGCGACGCCCCUGCUUACUAUACUAUGUCUUGUUUCAUGUGUGCACUAGUGUCCAGUACCUGCAUGGUGUGAAUUGCAUUGUACAAUCCAGCAGUUAAACAAUAACAUGGUAGAUGAUGAUAAUAAUAUUUUUUUAUUUUUUUUUAAUCCAAAUGAAGAUGUUGAAUUGUCAGGAUUCCUAUACAAGAAACCAGGUGCUAUUUUGCAUGUCUGAGAUGGAGACUAAGUUGCUGCAUCCUAGAAAGUGUGAACAGAAAGGUUUACAUUGUACAAUUAGCAGCUUCAAGGCUACAACACAUGGACAAGCCACCAUUGUCAAUGACAACAUUGAUCAAGCAUGUCAUAACCUGCCAGAUAAAAUAGUGACAUAAUUGAACAUGGCCAGCAUUCUGUUCUGCUGGCACCUUCUUUACAAUAUAACAUGUUUUUAAUGGAUGAAAAUGGGAUAAAAAAAUAAAAGUAGUGUAAACUGUUGUCUAUGCUCACAAUUUCCCUGUGACUUAUUUUUAAAUCACAUCGCCUUUUAUCAGAAAUUGCAUUGCAAGUUGCAGAUUUACUAGAGGGGGGUGCACCCUCCAAGCCCUGGCAGGAGAGGGCGAAGGGGGUGCUUUUUUCAUGAUAAAGCAAAAAAUAAUAGAGAC